GACGUAGGGGACGAGCGUUGUCCGGAUUCAUUGGGCGUAAAGCGCGCGUAGGCGGCUCGGAAAGUCGGUCGUGAAAUGCCGGGGCUCAACCCCGGGACUGCGUCCGAUACUCCCGAGCUGGAGGCAGGUAGGGGAGAUCGGAAUUCCUGGUGUAGCGGUGAAAUGCGCAGAUAUCAGGAGGAACACCGGUGGCGAAGGCGGAUCUCUGGGCCUUGCCUGACGCUGAGGCGCGAAAGCUAGGGGAGCGAACAGG
rnacentral:rRNA from 1 species